GACGAACGCUGGCGGCGUGCUUAACACAUGCAAGUCGAACGGAAAGGCCCUGCUUUUGUGGGGUGCUCGAGUGGCGAACGGGUGAGUAACACGUGAGUAACCUGCCCUUGACUUUGGGAUAACUUCAGGAAACUGGGGCUAAUACCGGAUAGGAGCUCCUGCUGCAUGGUGGGGGUUGGAAAGUUUCGGCGGUUGGGGAUGGACUCGCGGCUCAUCAGCUUGUUGGUGGGGUAGUGGCUUACCAAGGCUUUGACGGGUAGCCGGCCUGAGAGGGUGACCGGCCACAUUGGGACUGAGAUACUGCCCAGACUCCUACGGGAGGCAGCAGUGUGGGAUAUUGCACAAUGGGCGGCAGCCUGAUGCAGCAACGCCGCGUGCGGGAUGGCGGCCUUCGGGUUGUAAACCGCUUUCGCCUGUGACGAAGCGUGAGUGACGGUAAUGGGUAAAGAAGCACCGGCUAACUACGUG
rnacentral:rRNA from 1 species